UACAGAGGUCUCAAGCGUUGUUCGGAUUCAUUGGGCGUAAAGGGUGCGUAGGUGGCGCCAUAAGUCAGGUGUGAAAUCUCGGGGCUUAACUCCGAAACUGCAUUUGAUACUGUGAUGCUUGAGGACUGGAGAGGAGACUGGAAUUCACGGUGUAGCAGUGAAAUGCGUAGAUAUCGUGAGGAAGACCAGUGGCGAAGGCGGGUCUCUGGACAGUUCCUGACGCUGAGGCACGAAAGCGUGGGGAGCGAACAGG
rnacentral:rRNA from 1 species